rnacentral:rRNA from 1 species
GAUGAACGCUGGCGGCGUGCUUAACACAUGCAAGUCGAACGGGAAACCUUUUAUUGAAGCUUCGGCAGAUUUAGCUGGUCUCUAGUGGCGGACGGGUGAGUAACGCGUGGGUAACCUGCCUUAUACAGGGGGAUAACAACCAGAAAUGGUUGCUAAUACCGCAUAAGCGCACAGGACCGCAUGGUCCGGUGUGAAAAACUCCGGUGGUAUAAGAUGGACCCGCGUUGGAUUAGCUAGUUGGCAGGGUAACGGCCUACCAAGGCGACGAUCCAUAGCCGGCCUGAGAGGGUGAACGGCCACAUUGGGACUGAGACACGGCCCAGACUCCUACGGGAGGCAGCAGUGGGGAAUAUUGCACAAUGGGGGAAACCCUGAUGCAGCGACGCCGCGUGAAGGAAGAAGUAUCUCGGUAUGUAAACUUCUAUCAGCAGGGAAGAUAGUGACGGUACCUGACUAAGAAGCCCCGGCUAACUACGUG